rnacentral:SRP_RNA from 1 species
ACUUGAACGAUCAUCGCUUCAAUUCUU